ACCCCCUGGCGGUGGGCAAAGAGACACCUCAUUGGUAGUGGUGUUCUUACAUCACUCAGGGGCAGAGCAGAUGACAGUCCUUUGUUCAUCCUAGCUUGGUGCCUGGGUCAGUGGCCAAGGCUAUUUCAUGCCUAGGGCACAUUU
rnacentral:snoRNA from 1 species